GCUGGGUGUGGUGGUGCAUGCCUGUAAUCCCAGCUACCUGGGAAGCUGAGGCAGGAGAAUUGCUUGAACCUGGGAAGCAGGUUGCAGUGAGCCAAGAUGGUGCCACCGCACUCCAGCCUAGGUAACAGAGUGAGACUCUGUCUCAA
rnacentral:SRP_RNA from 1 species